GCGCGCGUCCUAGGGGAGUAGUCUCCCGCGAGCGCCAGCUCGCCCGGCAUGCAUCAACAUACUUGGUCCGCAGACCAUGGUGCGUGCGACCCAAGAUCCGCCAAGACGGAUCUGCGCCGUUCGGCUCGAACGCCGCGCAGGGUU
rnacentral:sRNA from 2 species